ensembl:lncRNA
GGUGAAUAAUGGAAAGAGUUUCAUUUAAAAAGAUAACAAAACUAGUACAUAAAUGGAGAGCUGAACUGGGGAAACAAAACUAAACCCAACUAUUCAAAACCCAGCAAACACUACGAAUACAGAAACGGAAAUCAACCAAUACUAAACUGGAUUAACAAAAGUAAACUAAGGAGGAGUACUCACAAGACGGAGAAAAAGGAGUCCAGAAGUGGGGAAGCAGAGUCCAUGAGGGAGCAGAGCGUGUGAAGCCAUGCGAGUCUUUGUGGGAAUCCAAGCCUGGAGAGAAGCAGGUGUCUAGUAGUUUAUGGUCAAACAGGCAAAGAGUCACUAAGCAGAGUUUAAAUAGUGAGCAGGUGAUAUUGAGGGCAGGUGAGCUGAUUACUGCAAUGUGAGUCACCUGCAGUAAUCAGCUGAGAGUGCAGACAGGUGAAGCAGGGAGAGCAAGAGACAGGAACGAGGAGAGAUGACAGACAGAGUCAAGUUGCUUCACCUGCCUGCACUCUAUUUGCUGAUUACUGUAAUGAGUGUCACCUGCAGUAAUUAGUUCACUCCAUUGACUGUUCUCUACCUCACCUCCAGUAUUUAAGCUCUGUGCUUCCAUUCACUCCUCGCCGGAUCAUCGGCUCACAUCUCUCCAUGGCUUCUGCUGCAUUCCUGGAUUGUGGGUUUCCCCACCAAGCCUUCUACUGCUUGUCAGCUUCAGCCUCUUGGACUCGACCGAUUUUGCUGUCCUGGAUUUCUCUCUUGUGGACUCUGUUCAACUCCUGUCUGUUUUUGGAUGCUCCCUGGUCUUCAGUCUGCCAAUUUUGUUUUUCCACUAGCUUCUGGGUUCUCCUAGCCUGCCUAGCCUUUAGCUCUGUUUUCCCAUGGUUGUUGUAAGUACAUUGCUGUGUUGUUUGGUUGAGGUUAUUCCUGUUUAGUUUUGUGGUUUUUGUAGGUUUGGUAGUGUAGUUUGUUUUAGUGUUGUGGUUUAGUUUGUCUGCUGGGGCUUCCGUUUCACGAAGCGGGUUCAACAAACUGUUUUUGGUUAAAUCAAGUCUGAGUAGUUUCCCCUGGAGUUAAGCACGUGCACCACAGCUCUGAAAAGCCAGUAUCAAUGGAGUGCCGAUUUGACGAGUCACCAUGGCAACGGGUAAGCAGAGGACGACACCGUUUGAAUUGGAAAUCUUAAUGCGCUUAUGUAGCGAGUUUGAACACGUUUUUAGAAAGAAGUGCAACACCGCUGCAGCUGCAAAUGAGAGGGAAACGGCGUGGGAGAGCCUUGCGGCCCGGGUCAAUGUGUAAAUUGAAACCACAAUAAUAUUGCAGGAGAAAAGUGUUUAAUGGUAAUCUGUUGUGUUAUUUCAUUUAGGUGCAAGAGGGAGACGGCCUGGGAGAGCAUUGCUGCCUGAGUCAAUGUGUGCAAUCCUGUGAGGGAGAAGUGCAUGUGGCAAACAGGUGUGCAGCGGUGGAGCUUCCUGUCCUCCGCUCCCUGCUUGCUUCCGUGGUGGCUGUGGUUUGGCAUGACGGCGUUGGUGGACGCAGCCG